GAGUGGCGGCGGCGGCGGUGGCGCUGGUGGCGGCGGUGGCGGAGGUGGAGGUGGAGGUGGAAGCUGAAGCUGAAGCAGAGCCAGAGGCGGCGCGGCGGGGUGCUCGGCGGCGCGGCACGCGGCCCAGAAGCGUUGGAAUCCUGAAUUGAGACGGCUGCGCCUAAAGACAGCAGGAGUGGCGGGGCCGCCGCCGUCGCCGGAGAGAUGAGCCGGGAAGCUUGAGGCCGGAGACGCCCGCCUUCGGGCCCGUCCGCCCGGCUUCCCCGCUCCCGGGUACUGGAAGAUGAAAGAGACUAUACAAGGGACCGGGUCCUGGGGGCCUGAGCCUCCUGGACCCGGCAUACCCCCAGCUUACUCAAGUCCCAGGCGGGAGCGUCUUCGUUGGCCCCCACCUCCCAAACCCCGACUCAAGUCAGGUGGAGGGUUUGGGCCAGAUCCUGGGUCAGGGACCACAGUGCCAGCCAGACGCCUCCCUGUCCCCCGACCCUCUUUUGAUGCCUCAGCAAGUGAAGAGGAGGAAGAAGAGGAGGAGGAGGAGGAUGAAGAUGAAGAGGAGGAAGUGGCAGCUUGGAGGCUGCCCCCAAGAUGGAGUCAGCUGGGAACCUCCCAGCGGCCCCGCCCUUCCCGCCCCACUCAUCGAAAAACCUGCUCACAGCGCCGCCGCCGAGCCAUGAGAGCCUUCCGGAUGCUGCUCUACUCAAAAAGCACCUCGCUGACAUUCCACUGGAAGCUUUGGGGGCGCCACCGGGGCCGGCGGCGGGGCCUCGCACACCCCAAGAACCAUCUUUCACCCCAGCAAGGGGGUGCGACGCCACAGGUGCCAUCCCCCUGUUGUCGUUUUGACUCCCCCCGGGGGCCACCUCCACCCCGGCUGGGUCUGCUAGGUGCUCUCAUGGCUGAGGAUGGGGUGAGAGGGUCUCCACCAGUGCCCUCUGGGCCCCCCAUGGAGGAAGAUGGACUCAGGUGGACUCCAAAGUCUCCUCUGGACCCUGACUCGGGCCUCCUUUCAUGUACUCUGCCCAACGGUUUUGGGGGACAAUCUGGGCCAGAAGGGGAGCGCAGCUUGGCACCCCCUGAUGCCAGCAUCCUCAUCAGCAAUGUGUGCAGCAUCGGGGACCAUGUGGCCCAGGAGCUUUUUCAGGGCUCAGAUUUGGGCAUGGCAGAAGAGGCAGAGAGGCCUGGGGAGAAAGCCGGCCAGCACAGCCCCCUGCGAGAGGAGCAUGUGACCUGCGUACAGAGCAUCUUGGACGAAUUCCUUCAAACGUAUGGCAGCCUCAUACCCCUCAGCACUGAUGAGGUAGUAGAGAAGCUGGAGGACAUUUUCCAGCAGGAGUUUUCCACCCCUUCCAGGAAGGGCCUGGUGUUGCAGCUGAUCCAGUCUUACCAGCGGAUGCCAGGCAAUGCCAUGGUGAGGGGCUUCCGAGUGGCUUAUAAGCGGCACGUGCUGACCAUGGAUGACUUGGGGACCUUGUAUGGACAGAACUGGCUCAAUGACCAGGUGAUGAACAUGUAUGGAGACCUGGUCAUGGACACAGUCCCUGAAAAGGUGCAUUUCUUCAAUAGUUUCUUCUAUGAUAAACUCCGUACCAAGGGUUAUGAUGGGGUGAAAAGGUGGACCAAAAACGUGGACAUCUUCAAUAAGGAGCUACUGCUAAUCCCCAUCCACCUGGAGGUGCAUUGGUCCCUCAUCUCUGUUGAUGUGAGGCGACGCACCAUCACCUAUUUUGACUCGCAGCGUACCCUAAACCGCCGCUGCCCUAAGCAUAUUGCCAAGUAUCUACAGGCAGAGGCGGUAAAGAAAGACCGACUGGAUUUCCACCAGGGCUGGAAAGGUUACUUCAAAAUGAAUGUGGCCAGGCAGAAUAAUGACAGUGACUGUGGUGCUUUUGUGUUGCAGUACUGCAAGCAUCUGGCCCUGUCUCAGCCAUUCAGCUUCACCCAGCAGGACAUGCCCAAACUUCGUCGGCAGAUCUACAAGGAGCUGUGUCACUGCAAACUCACUGUCCAGGGGAAUCCUCCCAUCCCUACGAUAUCGCUGUUGAUUCCUUCAUCCCUGGCACACGUCCAGGCAGUGUCGAAUCCAUCUCUGCUACAGGGGAAAACAAAUAACAUUUGAGUCCAGUGGAGACCGGGAGCAGAAGUAAAGGGAAGUGAUAACCCCCAGAGCCCGGAAGCCUCUGGAGGCUGAGACCUCGCCCCCCUUGCGUGAUAGGGCCUACGGAGCCACAUGACCAAGGCACUGUCGCCUCCGCACGUGUGAGAGUGCAGGGCCCCAAGAUGGCUGCCAGGCCUCGAGGCCUGACUCUUCUAUGUCACUUCCGUACCGGCGAGAAAGGCGGGCCCUCCAGCCAAUGAGGCUGCGGGGCGGGCCUUCACCUUGAUAGGCACUCGAGUUAUCCAAUGGUGCCUGCGGGCCGGAGCGACUAGGAACUAACGUCAUGCCGAGUUGCUGAGCGCCGGCAGGCGGGGCCGGGGCGGCCAAACCAAUGCGAUGGCCGGGGCGGAGUCGGGCGCUCUAUAAGUUGUCGAUAGGCGGGCACUCCGCCCUAGUUUCUAAGGAUCAUGUCUGCGAGCCAGGAUUCCCGAUCCAGAGACAAUGGCCCCGAUGGGAUGGAGCCCGAAGGCGUCAUCGAGAGUAACUGGAAUGAGAUUGUUGACAGCUUUGAUGACAUGAACCUCUCGGAGUCCCUUCUCCGUGGCAUCUACGCGUAUGGUUUUGAGAAGCCCUCUGCCAUCCAGCAGCGAGCCAUUCUACCUUGUAUCAAGGGUUAUGAUGUGAUUGCUCAAGCCCAAUCUGGGACUGGGAAAACGGCCACAUUUGCCAUAUCGAUUCUGCAGCAGAUUGAAUUAGAUCUAAAAGCCACCCAGGCCUUGGUCCUAGCACCCACUCGAGAAUUGGCUCAGCAGAUACAGAAGGUGGUCAUGGCACUAGGAGACUACAUGGGCGCCUCCUGUCACGCCUGUAUCGGGGGCACCAACGUGCGUGCUGAGGUGCAGAAACUGCAGAUGGAAGCUCCCCACAUCAUCGUGGGUACCCCUGGCCGUGUGUUUGAUAUGCUUAACCGGAGAUACCUGUCCCCCAAAUACAUCAAGAUGUUUGUACUGGAUGAAGCUGACGAAAUGUUAAGCCGUGGAUUCAAGGACCAGAUCUAUGACAUAUUCCAAAAGCUCAACAGCAACACCCAGGUAGUUUUGCUGUCAGCCACAAUGCCUUCUGAUGUGCUUGAGGUGACCAAGAAGUUCAUGAGGGACCCCAUUCGGAUUCUUGUCAAGAAGGAAGAGUUGACCCUGGAGGGUAUCCGCCAGUUCUACAUCAACGUGGAACGAGAGGAGUGGAAGCUGGACACACUAUGUGACUUGUAUGAAACCCUGACCAUCACCCAGGCAGUCAUCUUCAUCAACACCCGGAGGAAGGUGGACUGGCUCACCGAGAAGAUGCAUGCUCGAGAUUUCACUGUAUCCGCCAUGCAUGGAGAUAUGGACCAAAAGGAACGAGACGUGAUUAUGAGGGAGUUUCGUUCUGGCUCUAGCAGAGUUUUGAUUACCACUGACCUGCUGGCCAGAGGCAUUGAUGUGCAGCAGGUUUCUUUAGUCAUCAACUAUGACCUUCCCACCAACAGGGAAAACUAUAUCCACAGAAUCGGUCGAGGUGGACGGUUUGGCCGUAAAGGUGUGGCUAUUAACAUGGUGACAGAAGAAGACAAGAGGACUCUUCGAGACAUUGAGACCUUCUACAACACCUCCAUUGAGGAAAUGCCCCUCAAUGUUGCUGACCUCAUCUGAGGGGCUGUCCUGCCACCCAGCCCCAGCCAGGGCUCAAUCUCUGGGGGCUGAGGAGCAGCAGGAGGGGGGAGGGAAGGGAGCCAAGGGAUGGACAUCUUGUCAUUUUUUUUCUUUGAAUAAAUGUCACUUUUUGAGGCAAAAGAAGGAACCGUGAACAUUUUAGACACCCUUUUCUUUGGGGUAGGCUCUUGCCCCAGGCGCCGGCUCUUCUCCCAAAAAAAAAAAAAAAACACUAAUCCAUUUCCCUAACCUAGUAACCUCCAGAUCCCAGAGGCUCUCCUCACCUCAGCUGAGCUCCUUUGAAAGUGAUUCAAGGGACUAUGUCACUCAGCCUCAUUUGCUGGACCAAAUCUGGAGGGAGAACCCCUAAAACCCCUAAGUGAGGUUGCCCAGGGGGUUGUCCCCAGGUGGGGGGAAGCAGGGGAGAGAAAAUGGUAGCCAUUUUUACAUUGUUUUGUAUAGUAUUUAUUGAUUCAGGAAACAAACACAAAAUUCUGAAUAAAAUGACUUGGAAACUGCC
rnacentral:lncRNA from 1 species